rnacentral:rRNA from 1 species
AGAGUUUGAUCCUGGCUCAGGAUGAACGCCGGCGGUGUGCCUAAUACAUGCAAGUCGUACGCACUGGCCCAACUGAUUGAUGGUGCUUGCACCUGAUUGACGAUGGAUCACCAGUGAGUGGCGGACGGGUGAGUAACACGUAGGUAACCUGCCCCGGAGCGGGGGAUAACAUUUGGAAACAGAUGCUAAUACCGCAUAACAACAAAAGCCACAUGGCUUUUGUUUGAAAGAUGGCUUUGGCUAUCACUCUGGGGUGGACCUGCGGUGCAUUAGCUAGUUGGUAAGGUAACGGCUUACCAAGGCGAUGAUGCAUAGCCGAGUUGAGAGACUGAUCGGCCACAAUGGAACUGAGACACGGUCCAUACUCCUACGGGAGGCAGCAGUAGGGAAUCCUCCACAAUGGGCGCAAGCCUGAUGGAGCAACACCGCGUGAGUGAAGAAGGGUUUCGGCUCGUAAAGCUCUGUUGUUGGAGAAGAACGUGCGUGAGAGUAACUGUUCACGCAGUGACGGUAUCCAACCAGAAAGUCACGGCUAACUACGUGCCAGCAGCCGCGGUAAUACGUAGGUGGCAAGCGUUAUCCGGAUUUAUUGGGCGUAAAGCGAGCGCAGGCGGUCGCUUAGGUCUGAUGUGAAAGCCUUCGGCUUAACCGAAGAAGUGCAUCGGAAACCGGGCGACUUGAGUGCAGAAGAGGACAGUGGAACUCCAUGUGUAGCGGUGGAAUGCGUAGAUAUAUGGAAGAACACCAGUGGCGAAGGCGGCUGUCUGGUCUGCAACUGACGCUGAGGCUCGAAAGCAUGGGUAGCGAACAGGAUUAGAUACCCUGGUAGUCCAUGCCGUAAACGAUGAGUGCUAGGUGUUGGAGGGUUUCCGCCCUUCAGUGCCGGAGCU